AUCUAUCUAGAACAUCUCGCCGGUAUUAAGUUGCGAGCCCCACCCAAAGUGUAAACUCAAAGCAAUGGACAACUGCAUUAACGAACUAUGCGUAAGGUAAACAAUCCUUGCAACCGUGGUCACGAGCACCGUUGUUUUCUCCCUGGUGGCAACAGCACAUCCCCUAGUCUCAUGUUUCUAUCACUCAAGAUAGACAUCGAGGGGCAUGAACCCACAAUCAUGCAUAACGCUCCCUCUUGGAGUUACAAUCUACUACUCGGCCAAAGCAAUAAAUAGCAACGGAGAACAUGCAUGAAUCACUAAGGAAC
rnacentral:lncRNA from 1 species